rnacentral:rRNA from 1 species
UGGGGAAUCUUGGACAAUGGGCGAAAGCCUGAUCCAGCCAUUCCGCGUGAAUGAUGAAGGCCUUAGGGUUGUAAAAUUCUUUCAGCAGGGAAGAUAAUGACUGUACCUGCAGAAGAAGCCCCGGCUAACUCCGUGCCAGCAGCCGCGGUAAUACGGAGGGGGCUAGCGUUGUUCGGAAUUACUGGGCGUAAAGCGCGCGUAGGCGGACCAAUCAGUCAGAGGUGAAAGCCCGGGGCUCAACCUCGGAAUUGCCUUUGAUACUGUUGGUCUGGAGUCCGGGAGAGGUGUGUGGAAUUCCGAGUGUAGAGGUGAAAUUCGUAGAUAUUCGGAGGAACACCAGAGGCGAAGGCGACACACUGGACCGGUACUGACGCUGAGGUGCGAAAGCGUGGGGAGCAAACAGGAUUAGAUACCCCGGUAGUCC